rnacentral:rRNA from 1 species
CUCCUUCUGAUAGAAUAGAAGGUAGGCCCUGCCCGAUGCUGUGAAGUCAAUGGCCGCAGUACUCUGACUGUGCUAAGGUAGCAUAAUCAAUUGGCUCUUAAUUGGAGUCUAGGAUGAAAGGGUUGACAAGCGCCCAACUUUCUUCUUUGAAGGUUUUUAAAUUCGGUUUCAGGUUAAAACCCCUGAAUGAGGGAGAGGGACGACAAGACCCUAUAGAACUGGCCCCCCUCCUCUCUAAGGAGGGAGUGAGGGGGGGUUAUUUGGGAUGAAACGAAGUACAGUGAACACUCGUUAAUAGGGAAGUCUGAUUAGACUAGGAUGAAGAGCCCCUUUUAUGGGAAAAGAAGGAAAGUUUCCUUAGGGAUAACAGCACAAUUCCUCCUCCCAGUACUUAUGGGAGGGGGAGUCUGUGACCUCGAUGUUGAAUUAAGCUGCCCUACUUAAGGAGAGAGAAGGAGGGUUAGUCUGUUCGACUAUUAAAAGCUU